rnacentral:rRNA from 1 species
CCCUUAGAUGUCCUGGGCCGCACGCGCGUUACACUGAUGCAUUCAACGAGCUUAUAACCUUGGCCGAGAGGCCUGGGCAAUCUUGUUAACGUGCAUCGUGAUAGGGAUAGAUUAUUGAAAUUAUUAAUCUUGAACGAGGAAUUCCUAGUAAACGCAGAUCAUCAAUCUGCUUUGAUUACGUCCCUGCCCUUUGUACGCACCGCCCGUCGCACCUACCGAUUGGAUGGUCCGGUGAAGCCUCGGGAUUGUGGUUCUUGCCGCUUUAUUGUGGCGUGACCGCGAGAACUUGUCUAAACCUUAUCAUCUAGAGGAAGGUGAAGUCGUAACA